GACGGGGGGUGCAAGCGUUAUCCGGAAUCACUGGGCGUAAAGCGUCUGUAGGCGGUCAUGCAAGUCACUGGUGAAAGACUCGGGCUCAACCGGGGGAGAGCCAGUGAAACUGCAUGACUAGAGUCUGGGAGAGGUAGAAGGAAUUCCCUGAGUAGCGGUGAAAUGCGUAGAUACAUGGACGAACACCGGAGGCGAAGGCGUCCUACUGGAACCCAAUUGACGCUGAGAGACGAAAGCUUGGGGAGCGAACGGG
rnacentral:rRNA from 1 species